AGCUUGCUCCCUGAUGUUAGCGGCGGACGGGUGAGUAACACGUGGGUAACCUGCCUGUAAGACUGGGAUAACUCCGGGAAACCGGGGCUAAUACCGGAUGGUUGUUUGAACCGCAUGGUUCAAACAUAAAAGGUGGCUUCGGCUACCACUUACAGAUGGACCCGCGGCGCAUUAGCUAGUUGGUGAGGUAACGGCUCACCAAGGCAACGAUGCGUAGCCGACCUGAGAGGGUGAUCGGCCACACUGGGACUGAGACACGGCCCAGACUCCUACGGGAGGCAGCAGUAGGGAAUCUUCCGCAAUGGACGAAAGUCUGACGGAGCAACGCCGCGUGAGUGAUGAAGGUUUUCGGAUCGUAAAGCUCUGUUGUUAGGGAAGAACAAGUACCGUUCGAAUAGGGCGGUACCUUGACGGUACCUAACCAGAAAGCCACGGCUAACUACGUGCCAGCAGCCGCGGUAAUACGUAGGUGGCAAGCGUUGUCCGGAAUUAUUGGGCGUAAAGGGCUCGCAGGCGGUUUCUUAAGUCUGAUGUGAAAGCCCCCGGCUCAACCGGGGAGGGUCAUUGGAAACUGGGGAACUUGAGUGCAGAAGAGGAGAGUGGAAUU
rnacentral:rRNA from 1 species